CAGUCGCCGCGGUAAUACGUAGGGUGCGAGCGUCAAUCGGAAUUACUGGGCGUAAAGCGUGCGCAGGCGGCUUUGCAAGACAGAUGUGAAAUCCCCGGGCUCAACCUGGGAACUGCAUUUGUGACUGCAAGGCUAGAGUGCGGCAGAGGGAGAUGGAAUUCCGCGUGUAGCAGUGAAAUGCGUAGAUAUGCGGAGGAACACCGAUGGCGAAGGCAAUCUCCUGGGCCUGCACUGACGCUCAUGCACGAAAGCGUGGGGAGCAAACAGGAUUAGAUACCCCGGUAGUCCCUGUCUCUUAUAC
rnacentral:rRNA from 1 species